AUAAAUCACUGUAUAAUCUAUUCUAAGGUGAGAGUAAUCAAAAAGGCCACAAUAGUAAUGGAAAUAAUCGAUUACUGAAGAAAAAUUAUCGCCCAUCACUAGUUAUCACUGCAUCUGUUUUCACCCCGGAGAUGAGCACUGAGGCCGCGCGCACCUCUAGACUACUCUCCCUAAUCAACACAGGCUAUACACGUGAACAAGGUAACCACUAUCUAUUAUUACCCCGGAGAUGAGCACUGAGGCCUCGCGCACCUAAUCAACACAGGCUAUACACGUGAACAAGGUAACCACUAUCUAUUAUUACCCCGGAGAUGAGCACUGAGGCCUCGCGCACCUAAUCAACACAGGCUAUACACGUGAACAAGGUAACCACUAUCUAUUAUUACCCCGGAGAUGAGCACUGAGGCCUCGCGCACCUAAUCAACACAAGCUAUACACGUGAACAAGGUAACCACUAUCUAUUAUUACCCCGGAGAUGAGCACUGAGGCCUCGCGCACCUAAUCAACACAAGCUAUACACGUGAACAAGGUAACCACUAUCUAUUAUUACCCCGGAGAUGAGCACUGAGGCCUCGCGCACCUAAUCAACACAAGCUAUA